rnacentral:rRNA from 1 species
UACGUAGGGUGCGAGCGUUUAAUCGGAAUUACUGGGCGUAAAGCGUGCGCAGGCGGUUUUGUAAGCCAGAUGUGAAAUCCCCGGGCUUAACCUGGGAAUGGCAUUUGGGGACUGCAAGGCAGGAGUGCGGCAGAGGAGACUGGAAUUCCCGGUGUAGCAGUGAAAUGCGUAGAGAUCGAGCGGAACGACCAGUGGCGAAGGCGAGUUGCCUGGACCAAGUCCUGACGCUGAGGCACGAAAAGCCAGGGGAGGGCAAAACAGG